rnacentral:rRNA from 1 species
UACGGAGGGUGCAAGCGUUAUCCGGAUUUACUGGGUUUAAAGGGUGCGUAGGUGGGUAAGUAAGUCAGUGGUGAAAUACUUUCGCUUAACGAAGGAACUGCCAUUGAUACUAUCAAUCUUGAAUGUAGUGGAGGUAGGCGGAAUGCGUCAUGUAGCGGUGAAAUGCUUAGAUAUGACGCAGAACACCAAUUGCGAAGGCAGCUUGCUACACUACUAUUGACACUAAGGCACGAAAGCGUGGGGAUCAAACAGG